rnacentral:rRNA from 1 species
UUUGCACUGCUUCCAACAGUCUGUUAAAGACAA